rnacentral:rRNA from 1 species
AUUGAACGCUGGCGGCAGGCUUAACACAUGCAAGUCGAACGGUAACAGAAAAUAGCUUGCUAUUUUGCUGACGAGUGGCGGACGGGUGAGUAAUGCUUGGGAAUUUACCUUGUUGUGGGGGACAACAGUUGGAAACGACUGCUAAUACCGCAUAAUGUCUUCGGACCAAAGGUGGCCUCUAUUUAUAUGCUAUCGCGACAAGAUGAGCCCAAGUGGGAUUAGCUAGUUGGUAAGGUAAUGGCUUACCAAGGCGACGAUCCCUAGCUGGUCUUAGAGGAUGACCAGCCACACUGGAACUGAGACACGGUCCAGACUCCUACGGGAGGCAGCAGUGGGGAAUAUUGCACAAUGGGGGAAACCCUGAUGCAGCCAUGCCGCGUGUGUGAAGAAGGCUUUCGGGUUGUAAAGCACUUUCAGCGAGGAGGAAAGGGUAGUUACCUAAUACGUAAUAUCUGUGACGUUACUCGCAGAAGAAGCACCGGCUAACUCCGUGCCAG